rnacentral:rRNA from 1 species
UACGUAGGGCGCAAGCGUUGUCCGGAAUCAUUGGGCGUAAAGAGCUCGUAGGCGGCCUGUUGCGUCCGCUGUGAAAUCCCGGGGCUUAACCCCGGGCGUGCAGUGGAUACGGGCUGGCUGGAGGCAGGCAGGGGAGAACGGAAUUCCCGGUGUAGCGGUGAAAUGCGCAGAUAUCGGGAGGAACACCGGUGGCGAACGCGGUUCUCUGGGCCUGUACUGACGCUGAGGAGCGAAAGCGUGGGGAGCGAACAGG